GCCUGGAGAGCUCAGUUGGUUAGAACGUGGUGCUGAUAAUGCCAAGGUUGCAAGCUUGAUCCUCGCAUGGGACA
rnacentral:tRNA from 1 species